GUAGAUACUCAUCUCACUUGUUAUGACAGCUUACCGCUUCAUAAACCCCGAGAUGAUGUAGAGCUGAUUUUCAGUGCCUAUCGUCCAUGUUAUAGAUGAGUAAGCAUCAUGUCUUUUCAUCGCAAACCGGACACAACGUUGAGUGAGGCACUCUCCGUCUGUAGACCUGAUUGUAUUUAUGCACCUGUCUUUUUCGACAGGUGUUUUUUU
rfam:Xenorhabdus poinarii str. G6 chromosome, complete genome.